GAGUGCACGAAUCAGCUCAAUACCUACGUCCGUUGCUUUCUUUGUUCAUGUUGUAGCGGCACACUUGUACACACAAAGAAGAAAAGGAGCGGGUGAAGAGGACUUUGUUUUUGCUGUAGCGGCCUCGCUCCAUCCAGUGCUUUAGUGCCGAGCCUUCUAUAUAGACGUCUCCCGCAUUGUAACAAUAUGUCAUGCGCGCAACUUUGCAUCAAUGGUCGACAUUGUCAUAACACAAAUACGGUAUAUUACACAGCUUCUGCUCAUCUUAGUUGUGCCCGUCAAAAUAUAGCCCAUCUCUGCACCGUUGACAACAAUUAGCUGCAAGUGCUGAUUGCUGCUGGUUGGCUCAGUCCAGAAUCAGUUGGCAUAUCGAUGAAGUGCA
rnacentral:lncRNA from 1 species